GGAGUUGUGGCUCAGCGGUGGAGGGCUCUCCUAGCAUGUGUGGGGCCCUGGGUUCAAUCCUCAGCACCA
rnacentral:tRNA from 1 species